GUGAAAGUCUGAUUGAGGAGGGAAGGGAGUUCCACAGAAUAGGUGCAGCCCUGGAGAAGUCUUGAAGGCGAGCAUCAGAGGUGGGGAUCCGGGCAGAGGAUAGAAGUAGGUCUUGGGCUGAGCGCAGGGGUCUCGACGGGACAUACUUGUGUAUGAGGGAGGAUAAGUAUGUUGGAGCAGCAUUAUGUAGGGAUUUGUAAGCAAGCGCCAGAAUUUUGAAUUGGGCCCUAUAUCUAACUGGAAGCCAAUGCAGGGACUGACAGAGCGUGGAGGCGUGGGAGGUGCGACCGGACAGGAAAAUAAGC